rnacentral:rRNA from 1 species
CUACGGGGUGCUGCAGUGAGGAAUAUUGCACAAUGGGGGGAACCCUGAUGCAGCAACGCCGCGUGGAGGAUGACGCAUUUCGGUGUGUAAACUCCUUUUAUAUGUCAAGAAAAUGACGGUAGCAUAUGAAUAAGCACCGGCUAACUCCGUGCCAGCAGCCGCGGUAAUACGGAGGGUGCAAGCGUUACUCGGAAUUACUGGGCGUAAAGGACGCGUAGGCGGGUUGGAAAGUCAGGUGUGAAAUCCUACAGCUUAACUGUAGAACUGCACUUGAAACUUCUAAUCUAGAGUAUGGGAGGGGGAGAUGGAAUUAGUGGUGUAGGGGUAAAAUCCGUAGAUAUCACUAGGAAUACCUAAAGCGAAGGCGAUCUCCUGGAACAUUACUGACGCUAAGGCGUGAAAGCGUGGGGAGCAAACAGGAUUAGAUACCCCCGUAGUC